CUCUAGACAGGGCUGCCCACUUUCCCCACUGCUGUACAUCCUGGCGCUAGAACCCCUUACCCAACUCAUACGGGACAACCCGAACAUCCACGGUAUUAAGACUGGGGACCAGGAGUAUAAACUGUCCCUAUUUGCGGAUGAUAUCUUACUAACCCUGGAACAACCACAUAUCUCCCUGCCCAAUUUCCAUACAAUCCUCUCUAGAUAUAGCGCCUGCUCAUAUUACAAGUUGAACAUCACUAAGACUCUAGCCAUGGGGAUUAAUAUCCCGAGCCCUGUCCUGACAACCCUUAAAUCCAACUUUAACUACGACUGGAGACAAGACAAUAUCAAAUUUUUAGGAAUAAACUUCACACCUACAACGAACACACUGCUCAAAGCGAAC